AAUGCCAUUUCCCUCCUUCAAGCUUACGUAGGAAGCAACCAAAAUGAAGAAAACAAAAACAAAAACUAUCCUAAGGCAUUCUACCCCUUAACCCGUCGGUCUACACCCAAGAAAGGAAAAGAAAAUCCCACCUUCAUUUCCAAGCAAGCUAAAGCCGAUGCACACCCUCUCUUCUUCUGCUCUCUUUUGUUCUUCAAGAAACCAAACUUCUCUCAUCUCCUUCAAGCCAAGUAUCCAUUUUUCCGUCUUCUCAAGAGAAAAAUAGCAAGGUAAGAGUAUCCUUAAUCCUUCUCCUUUGUAUAUUUCGAAUUUAGCCAUAGUUGAUCAAGUGGGUUUUCUUUUGAUAUUUUUUAUGUUUCGGUUUUGGGGUUAAAACAGUUCUAUCAUUUUGGCUCUUUAUCCACACGGCUAUACCACUAUUUGGUCCUCUAUCUUGCCUCUUGAAAGGAGCUAAGAGCUUAAAGUAAUGAUGAAAAGGCUGGAGGCAAGACACUACUGCAGAGGGAGAGGCAGACACUUAGUGUCUUUCCUAACUAGAACAAUUAUGUUUAUGGAUGAUGGGUUGUGUUUAUGGUCGAACAUUCUAUUCAACCUUAUAUGGAAGAUGGGUUAUGUUUAUGUAUAGACGUUUUAUGUUGAAAGGGACUUUGAGAGUCUCUUAUGGGUGAAUGUUUGAAUAGAAUGUCUAUCAGGUGUUCCCUUUAUUAGAUUAGAAAUUUAGAGUAUAUAUGUGUCAUGUUCAUGCCGAUCGCAUGUUA